UUUUAAAGAGAGAACUAUCAAAAAGAGAUAGUUUUUGUGCGCAUAGGGGAAAGGUAGGUAUUUUAGGUAGGGUUAGACACUCUCUGCUCACGCGAAUCGUGAGCAGGGGGUGUCUAUUUUUUUUUAAGAAAGAACUAUCAAAAAGAGAUAGUUUUUUUUGCGCAUAGGGGAAAGGUAGGUAUUUUAGGUAGGGUUAGACACUCUCUGCUUACGCAAAUCGUGAGCAGGGGGUGUCUAUUUCUUUUUUAAAGAAAGAACUAUCAAAAAGAGAUAGUUUUUGUGCGCAUAGAGGAAAGGUAGGUAGUUUAGGUAGGGUUAUACACUCCCUGCUCACGCAAAUCAUGAGCAGGGGGUGUCUAUUUUUUUUAAAGAGAGAACUAUCAAAAAGAGAUAGUUUUUGUGCGCAUAGGGGAAAGGUAGGUAUUUUAGGUAGGGUUAGACACUCUCUGCUCACGCGAAUCGUGAGCAGGGGGUGUCUAUUUUUUUUAAGAAAGAACUAUCAAAAAGAGAUAGUUUUUUUUGCGCAUAGGGGAAAGGUAGGUAUUUUAGGUAGGGUUAGACACUCUCUGCUUACGCAAAUCGUGAGCAGGGGGUGUCUAUUUCUUUUUUAAAGAAAGAACUAUCAAAAAGAGAUAGUUUUUGUUUGCAUAGGGGAAAGGUAGGUAUUUUAGGUAGGGUUAGACACUCUCUGCUCACGCAAAUCAUGAGCAGGGGGUGUCUAUUUUUUUUUAAAGAGAGAACUAUCAAAAAGAGAUAGUUUUUGUGCGCAUAGGGGAAAGGUAGGUAUUUUAGGUAGGGUUAGACACUCUCUUCUCACGCAAAUCGUGAGCAGGGGGUGUCUAUUUUUUUUUUAAGAAAGAACUAUCAAAAAGAGAUAGUUUUUGUGCGCAUAGGGGAAAGGUAGGUAUUUUAGGUAGGGUUAGACACUCUCUGGUCAUGCAAAUCGUGAGCAGGGGGUUUCUAUUUUUUUUAAGAAAGAACUAUAAAAAAGAGAUAGUUUUUUUUGCGCAUAGGGGAAAGGUAGGUAUUUUAGGUAGGGUUAGACACUCUCUGCUUACGCAAAUCGUGAGCAGGGGGUGUCUAUUUCUUUUUUAAAGAAAGAACUAUCAAAAAGAGAUAGUUUUUGUGCGCAUAGGGGAAAGGUAGGUAGUUUAGGUAGGGUUAGACACUCUCUGCUCACGCAAAUCAUGAGCAGGGGGUGUCUAUUUUUUUUUAAAGAGAGAACUAUCAAAAAGUGAUAGUUUUUGUACGCAUAGGGGAAAGGUAGGUAUUUUAGGUAGGGUUAGACACUCUCUGCUCACGCAAAUCGUGAGCAGGGGGUGUCUAUUUUUUUAAGAAAGAACUAUCAAAAAGAGAUAGUUUUUGUGCGCAUAGGGGAAAGGUAGGUAUUUUAGGUAGGGUUAGACACUCUCUGCUUACGCAAAUCGUGAGCAGGGGGUGUCUAUUUCUUUUUUAAAGAAAGAACUAUCAAAAAGAGAUAGUUUUUGUGCGCAUAGGGGAAAGGUAGGUAGUUUAGGUAGGGUUAGACACUCUCUGCUCACGCAAAUCAUGAGCAGGGGGUGUCUAUUUUUUUUUAAAGAGAGAACUAUCAAAAAGUGAUAGUUUUUGUACGCAUAGGGGAAAGGUAGGUAUUUUAGGUAGGGUUAGACACUCUCUGCUCACGCAAAUCGUGAGCAGGGGGUGUCUAUUUUUUUAAGAAAGAACUAUCAAAAAGAGAUAGUUUUUGUGCGCAUAGGGGAAAGGUAGGUAUUUUAGGUAGGGUUAGACACUCUCUGGUCAUGCAAAUCGUGAGCAGUGGGUGUCUAUUUUUUUUUAAGAAAGAACUAUCAAAAAGAGAUAGUUUUUGUGCGCAUAGGGGAAAGGUAGGUAUUUUAGUUAGGGUUAGACACUCUCUGGUCAUGCAAAUCGUGAGCAGGGGGUGUCUAUUUUUUUAAGAAAGAACUAUCAAAAAGAGAUAGUUUUUGUUUGCAUAGGGGAAAGGUAGGUAUUUUAGGUAGGGUUAGACACUCUCUGGUCAUGCAAAUCGUGAGCAGGGGGUGUCUAUUUUUUUUUUUAAGAAAGAACUAUCAAAAAGAGAUAGUUUUUGUUUGCAUAGGGGAAAGGUAGGUAUUUUAGGUAGGGUUAGACACUCUCUGGUCAUGCAAAUCGUGAGCAGGGGGUGUCUAUUUUUUUUUUAAAGAAAGAACUAUCAAAAAGAGAUAGUUUUUGUUUGCAUAGGGGAAAGGUAGGUAUUUUAGGUAGGGUUAGACACUCUCUGGUCAUGGAAAUCGUGAGCAGGGGGUGUCUAUUUUUUUUAAGAAAUAACUAUCAAAAAGUGAUAGAUUUUGUACGCAUAGGGGAAAGGUAGGUAUUUUAGGUAGGGUUAGACACUCUCUGCUUACGCAAAUCGUGAGCAGGGGGUGUCUAUUUCUUUUUUAAAGAAAGAACUAUCAAAAAGAGAUAGUUUUUGUGCGCAUAGGGGAAAGGUAGGUAUUUUAGGUAGGGUUAGACACUCUCUGCUUACGCAAAUCGUGAGCAGGGGGUGUCUAUUUCUUUUUUAAAGAAAGAACUAUCAAAAAGAGAUAGUUUUUGUGCGCAUAGGGGAAAGGUAGGUAUUUUAGGUAGGGUUAGACACUCUCUUCUCACGCAAAUCGUGAGCAGGGGGUGUCUAUUUUUUUUUUAAGAAAGAACUAUCAAAAAGAGAUAGUUUUUGUGCGCAUAGGGGAAAGGUAGGUAUUUUAGGUAGGGUUAGACACUCUCUGCUUACGCAAAUCGUGAGCAGGGGGUGUCUAUUUCUUUUUUAAAGAAAGAACUAUCAAAAAGAGAUAGUUUUUGUGCGCAUAGGGGAAAGGUAGGUAGUUUAGUUAGGGUUAGACACUCUCUGGUCAUGCAAAUCGUGAGCAGGGGGUGUCUAUUUUUUUAAGAAAGAACUAUCAAAAAGAGAUAGUUUUUGUUUGCAUAGGGGAAAGGUAGGUAUUUUAGGUAGGGUUAGACACUCUCUGGUCAUGCAAAUCGUGAGCAGGGGGUGUCUAUUUUUUUUUUUAAGAAAGAACUAUCAAAAAGAGAUAGUUUUUGUUUGCAUAGGGGAAAGGUAGGUAUUUUAGGUAGGGUUAGACACUCUCUGCUUACGCAAAUCGUGAGCAGGGGGUGUCUAUUUCUUUUUUAAAGAAAGAACUAUCAAAAAGAGAUAGUUUUUGUGCGCAUAGGGGAAAGGUAGGUAGUUUAGGUAGGGUUAGACACUCUCUGCUCACGCAAAUCAUGAGCAGGGGGUGUCUAUUUUUUUUUAAAGAGAGAACUAUCAAAAAGUGAUAGUUUUUGUACGCAUAGGGGAAAGGUAGGUAUUUUAGGUAGGGUUAGACACUCUCUGCUCACGCAAAUCGUGAGCAGGGGGUGUCUAUUUUUUUAAGAAAGAACUAUCAAAAAGAGAUAGUUUUUGUUUGCAUAGGGGAAAGGUAGGUAUUUUAGGUAGGGUUAGACACUCUCUGGUCAUGCAAAUCGUGAGCAGUGGGUGUCUAUUUUUUUUUAAGAAAGAACUAUCAAAAAGAGAUAGUUUUUGUGCGCAUAGGGGAAAGGUAGGUAUUUUAGUUAGGGUUAGACACUCUCUGGUCAUGCAAAUCGUGAGCAGGGGGUGUCUAUUUUUUUAAGAAAGAACUAUCAAAAAGAGAUAGUUUUUGUUUGCAUAGGGGAAAGGUAGGUAUUUUAGGUAGGGUUAGACACUCUCUGGUCAUGCAAAUCGUGAGCAGGGGGUGUCUAUUUUUUUUUUUAAGAAAGAACUAUCAAAAAGAGAUAGUUUUUGUUUGCAUAGGGGAAAGGUAGGUAUUUUAGGUAGGGUUAGACACUCUCUGGUCAUGCAAAUCGUGAGCAGGGGGUGUCUAUUUUUUUUUUAAAGAAAGAACUAUCAAAAAGAGAUAGUUUUUGUUUGCAUAGGGGAAAGGUAGGUAUUUUAGGUAGGGUUAGACACUCUCUGGUCAUGGAAAUCGUGAGCAGGGGGUGUCUAUUUUUUUUAAGAAAUAACUAUCAAAAAGUGAUAGAUUUUGUACGCAUAGGGGAAAGGUAGGUAUUUUAGGUAGGGUUAGACACUCUCUGCUCACGCAAAUCGUGAGCAGGGGGUGUCUAUAUUUUUUAGGAAAGAACUAUCAAAAAGAGAUAGUUUUUGUGCGCAUAGGGGAAAGGUAGGUAGUUUAGGUAGGGUUAUACACUCUCUGCUCACGCAAAUCAUGAGCAGGGGGUGUCUAUAUUUUUUUAAAGAGAGAACUAUCAAAAAGAGAUAGUUUUUGUGCGCAUAGGGGAAAGGUAGGUAUUUUAGGUAGGGUUAGACACUCUCUGCUCACGCGAAUCGAGAGCAGGGGGUGUCUAUUUUUUUUAAGAAAGAACUAUCAAAAAGAGAUAGUUUUUUUUGCGCAUAGGGGAAAGGUAGGUAUUUUAGGUAGGGUUAGACACUCUCUGCUUACGCAAAUCGUGAGCAGGGGGUGUCUAUUUCUUUUUUAAAGAAAGAACUAUCAAAAAGAGAUAGUUUUUGUGCGCAUAGGGGAAAGGUAGGUAGUUUAGGUAGGGUUAUACACUCUCUGCUCACGCAAAUCAUGAGCAGGGGGUGUCUAUUUUUUUUUAAAGAGAGAACUAUCAAAAAGAGAUAGUUUUUGUUUGCAUAGGGGAAAGGUAGGUAUUUUAGGUAGGGUUAGACACUCUCUGCUCACGCGAAUCGUGAGCAGGGGGUGUCUAUUUUUUUU